UGGGGAAUAUUGGACAAUGGGCGAAAGCCUGAUCCAGCCAUGCCGCGUGUGUGAAGAAGGCCUUUUGGUUGUAAAGCACUUUAAGCGAGGAGGAAGCUACUUGGAUUAAUACUCUAGGAUAGUGGACGUUACUCGCAGAAUAAGCACCGGCUAACUCUGUGCCAGCAGCCGCGGUAAUACAGAGGGUGCGAGCGUUAAUCGGAUUUACUGGGCGUAAAGCGUGCGUAGGCGGCUUUUUAAGUCGGAUGUGAAAUCCCUGAGCUUAACUUAGGAAUUGCAUUCGAUACUGGGAAGCUAGAGUAUGGGAGAGGAUGGUAGAAUUCCAGGUGUAGCGGUGAAAUGCGUAGAGAUCUGGAGGAAUACCGAUGGCGAAGACAGCCAUCUGGCCUAAUACUGACGCUGAGGUACGAAAGCAUGGGGAGCAAACAGG
rnacentral:rRNA from 1 species